rnacentral:rRNA from 1 species
UACAGAGGUCCCGAGCGUUGUUCGGAUUCACUAGGCGUAAAGGGUGCGUAGGUGGCAUGGUAAGUUUGGUGUGAAAGCUCAGGGCUCAACCCUGAAAUGGCAUUGAAUACUACUGUGCUGGAGGUUUGGAGGGGGGACUGGAAUUCUCGGUGUAGCAGUGAAAUGCGUAGAUAUCGAGAGGAACACCAGUGGCGAAGGCGAGUCCCUGGACAACACCUGACACUGAGGCACGAAAGCUAGGGGAGCAAACAGG